rnacentral:rRNA from 1 species
CACGUAGGGUCCGAGCGUUGUCCGGAAUUACUGGGCGUAAAGAGCUCGUAGGUGGUUUGUCGCGUUGUUCGUGAAAACUCACAGCUUAACUGUGGGCGUGCGGGCGAUACGGGCAGACUUGAGUACUGCAGGGGAGACUGGAAUUCCUGGUGUAGCGGUGGAAUGCGCAGAUAUCAGGAGGAACACCGGUGGCGAAGGCGGGGUCUCUGGGCCGAAACUGACGCUGGAGGAAGCGAAAGCGUGGGGAGCAAACAGG